AUGAACGCUAGCUACAGGCUUAACACAUGCAAGUCGAGGGGCAGCAUGGUCUUAGCUUGCUAAGGCCGAUGGCGACCGGCGCACGGGUGAGUAACACGUAUCCAACCUGCCGUCUACUCUUGGACAGCCUUCUGAAAGGAAGAUUAAUACAAGAUGGCAUCAUGAGUCCGCAUGUUCACAUGAUUAAAGGUAUUCCGGUAGACGAUGGGGAUGCGUUCCAUUAGAUAGUAGGCGGGGUAAUGGCCCACCUAGUCUUCGAUGGAUAGGGGUUCUGAGAGGAAGGUCCCCCACAUUGGAACUGAGACACGGUCCAAACUCCUACGGGAGGCAGCAGUGAGGAAUAUUGGUCAAUGGGCGAGAGCCUGAACCAGCCAAGUAGCGUGAAGGAUGACUGCCCUAUGGGUUGUAAACUUCUUUUAUAAAGGGAUAAAGUCGGGUAUGCAUACCCGUUUGCAUGUACUUUAUGAAUAAGGAUCGGCUAACUCCGUGCCAGCAGCCGCGGUAAUACGGAGGAUCCGAGCGUUAUCCGGAUUUAUUGGGUUUAAAGGGAGCGUAGAUGGAUGUUUAAGUCAGUUGUGAAAGUUUGCGGCUCAACCGUAAAAUUGCAGUUGAUACUGGAUAUCUUGAGUGCAGUUGAGGCAGGCGGAAUUCGUGGUGUAGCGGUGAAAUGCUUAGAUAUCACGAAGAACUCCGAUUGCGAAGGCAGCCUGCUAAGCUGCAACUGACAUUGAGGCUCGAAAGUGUGGGUAUCAAACAGGAUUAGAUACCCUGGUAGUCCACACGGUAAACGAUGAAUACUCGCUGUUUGCGAUAUACUGCAAGCGGCCAAGCGAAAGCGUUAAGUAUUCCACCUGGGGAGUACGCCGGCAACGGUGAAACUCAAAGGAAUUGACGGGGGCCCGCACAAGCGGUGGAGCAUGUGGUUUAAUUCGAAGCAACGCGAAGAACCUUACCAGGUCUUGACAUCGAUCUAAAGGCUCCAGAGAUGGAGAGAUAGCUAUAGAGAAGACAGGUGGUGCAUGGUUGUCGUCAGCUCGUGUCGUGAGAUGUUGGGUUAAGUCCCGCAACGAGCGCAACCCUUAUUGUCAGUAGCCAGCAGGUGAAGCUGGGCACUCUGAUGAGACUGCCGGGGAUAACCCGGAGGAAGGUGGGGAUGACGUCAAAUCAGCACGGCCCUUACGUCCGGGGCUACACACGUGUUACAAUGGGGGGUACAGAGGGCCGCUACCACGCGAGUGGAUGCCAAUCCCAAAAACCUCUCUCAGUUCGGACUGGAGUCUGCAACCCGACUCCACGAAGCUGGAUUCGCUAGUAAUCGCGCAUCAGCCACGGCGCGGUGAAUACGUUCCCGGGCCUUGUACACACCGCCCGUCAAGCCAUGGGAGCCGGGGGUACCUGAAGUGCGUAACCGCGAGGAGCGCCCUAGGGUAAAACUGGUGACUGGGGCU
rnacentral:rRNA from 1 species